rnacentral:rRNA from 1 species
UACUCGAGUGGCGAAAGGGCGAGGAAUACAUGGAUAACGUGCCUUUGGCAUGGGGACAGCUGAGGGAAACUUCAGGUAAUACCCAAUGAGACCACAGUGCUUUCGGGCACAGGGGUCAAAGAUGGGGCUCCUUCGGGACCUAUCGGCCAUAGAGCGGUCCAUGUCCUAUCAGCUUGUUGGUGAGGUAAUGGCUCACCAAGGCGACGACGGGUACCGGGACUGAGAGGUUGACCCGGCGCAUCGGGACUGAGACACUGCCCGGACUCCUACGGGAGGCUGCAGUAACGAAUAUUGGUCAAUGGGCGAAAGCCUGAACCAGCGACGCCGCGUGUGGGAGGAAGCCCUUCGGGGUGUAAACCACUGUCAGGGAUUACCAAGCAAUGGAGGCUAAUACCCUCCUGCGUUGAGGCGUCCCAGAGGAAGUCACGGCUAACUUCGUGCCAGCAGCCGCGGUAAUACGAAGGUGGCGAGCGUUGUUCGGAAUCACUGGGCUUAAAGAGCACGUAGGCGGACUGCCAAGCGUCUUGUGAAAUCCCCCGGCUCAACCGGGGAAUUGCUGGGCGAACUGGUAGUCUUGAGGCAAGUAGGGGCAGAUGGAACUCUUGGUGGAGCGGUGGAAUGCGUAGAUAUCAAGAGGAACGCCAGAGGCGAAGGCGAUCUGCUGGGCUUGACCUGACGCUGAGGUGCGAAAGCCAGGGGAGCAAACGGGAUUAGAUACCCCGGUAGUCCUGGCCAUAAACGAUGUCACUAGAUCGGUGAACUUCGACAGUGUGCCGUCGAACAAAGCGUAAGUGGACCGCCUGGGGAGUACGGUCGCAAGGCUA